rnacentral:rRNA from 1 species
GAUGAACGCUGGCGGCGUGCUUAACACAUGCAAGUCGAACGGUGAACACGGAGCUUGCUCUGUGGGAUCAGUGGCGAACGGGUGAGUAACACGUGAGCAACCUGCCCCUGACUCUGGGAUAAGCGCUGGAAACGGCGUCUAAUACUGGAUAUGUGACGUGAUCGCAUGGUCUGCGUCUGGAAAGAAUGUCGGUUGGGGAUGGGCUCGCGGCCUAUCAGCUUGUUGGUGAGGUAAUGGCUCACCAAGGCGUCGACGGGUAGCCGGCCUGAGAGGGUGACCGGCCACACUGGGACUGAGACACGGCGCAGACUCCUACGGGAGGCAGCAGUGGGGAAUAUUGCACAAUGGGCGCAAGCCUGAUGCAGCAACGCCGCGUGAGGGAUGGCGGCCUUCGGGUUGUAAACCUCUUUUAGCAGGGAUGAAGCGAAAGUGACGGUACCUGCAGAAAAAGCGCCGGCUAACUACGUG